rnacentral:misc_RNA from 1 species
GGCAGAGACAAAGUCGGUAUUAGGAGCUUAGUAGUUCUACAUUUUCCUUGGCUUCUUUAUCACUGAACUGUCAGUCAGUGUAUUUAAAGGUACACAAGUUAAUACUUGAUUCUAAUACAAAAUAUAGGGUCUACAAAGAGCUACUGAAUUCGUGCCGAUGAACGCUCCGCCCCUGUUAACAUGCCCUUUGAAAAAACAAGAUCACAUAGUCCCUAAAAAAAGGAGUAAUUUUACUCUGAAAGAUCAGUAUCAUCCUCACGAUCAUUGAGAAUCCAAGAUCCAUCUUCUUGUUGAACCAUUCCUUUAUUUUGCACGGUCCGCCAAUACACUGGUACACCAUAUUCAUUCUUCAAUGCGUCCGUUUCCUUAUUCACCAACGCAAUAUCCCGAGUUAUUUCCAACUUGAACUCUCCUUCUGGUCCAUGUGUUCCAGCAAUUCCGUGCAGAUAAACUUCCAAAGAAUGAUUAUUUACAUCUUUCUUCAAAUACUCUGAUUUUGUAGUAUCAAUUUUAACUUCAUACCCAACAUGUUCAUACACUCUCCAAUCUGUAUCAGAGCCCUCUACCUGUCCGCGGUCUGGUUUUUCAGGAACUUCAUCAAGAGCAUUGGUAAUCCGCAAGAUUUGAAGAUUUUUCAAAUGUUGAUGAGCUUUCUUGAAAUUGGCCUCUCCAGUUCGUGGGCUAGCAAAUAAAAAUGCAGUCACUGGAAACUCCUUAUUGAUUUUGUUGACAACUAUGUCAAUUGCGCAUAGUGUGGACAAUGAUGAACCAAUACUGUGGCCGCUUAGAGUAAUGCUAACUUUGUCUCUCUUGUAUUGCUCCACCAAUCGCUUAACUUCUUCAAUAACCUGGUCUCUGGCACUAGCUGUUCGAUUGAAUUUAGAAGCGUCGUUAAGAGAAGUAUAAACUGAAUAAAAACCUCUGUGUACAAGAGUGUCAUGCGUAUUUUCUCCAAAGAUUUUUGUGGGUGGAACCAAAACCCAGUCAGAAUCAUCAUUCCAUUCUGCAGGACACAUGGUUCCUCUCCAAGCAAUCAAAAUAUCCCUCCUUCCUAAUGCAACUUUGCCCUCAUCAGUGGCAACAGCAACAAACCCUAUCCAAUUUGAUGAUUUGAUCUUUUCAGUUUUACUUGGUACAUCUGAAGCUCCAUAGAUGUAUUUUGUGACUUCAUAUUUGAAUGGGUUGUUUUUGUCGAGUCCCACUCUUUUGAAGAAAUUCUUUUUGGAGUAUCGAUUUGUCCCUAAAUUCUUCGAUGCUAUUUCACUGUUGAAUGAAUCGCAGAUGGCUUGAGGCAUUUGGCCAUAGUGAAUAAGGUAUCGUCGGAGAUCGUAAUCCAAAGGGUCAAGUAAGCCUUCCCAGUUGUUUUUUCCAUUCAAAAUCUCCCAUCUUUCUGCUACGCUGUUGUCUCUGUUUUCGAUCCCUUUUUUCUUUUUGAAAAAAUUUCUGAUUUUGAUACUAACAGCUUCCAAUCCUUUGUUUAUGCAGCCCAUAGAUAUACUUCAAUAGAUAUGGAGUAAUUAAAAUUGCUACCACUUUUAAAGUUGUGUUAG